GAUGAACGCUGGCGGCGUGCUUAACACAUGCAAGUCGAACGGUGAAGCAGGAGCUUGCUCUUGUGGAUCAGUGGCGAACGGGUGAGUAACACGUGAGCAACCUGCCCCUGACUCUGGGAUAAGCGCUGGAAACGGCGUCUAAUACUGGAUAUGUGAUGUGACCGCAUGGUCUGCAUCUGGAAAGAAUUUCGGUUGGGGAUGGGCUCGCGGCCUAUCAGCUUGUUGGUGAGGUAAUGGCUCACCAAGGCGUCGACGGGUAGCCGGCCUGAGAGGGUGACCGGCCACACUGGGACUGGGACACGGCCCAGAGUCCUACGGGAGGCAGCAGUGGGGAAUAUUGCACAAUGGGCGGAAGCCUGAUGCGGCAACGCCGCGUGAGGGAUGACGGCCUUCGGGUUGUAAGCCUCUUUUAGCAGGGAAGAAGCGAAAGUGACGGUACCUGCAGAAAAAGCACCGGCUAACUACGUGCCAGCCGCCGCGGUAA
rnacentral:rRNA from 1 species